GUCCAUUGGUCGGGGAGGGAGUCCGAAGGUCCACCUGGUGGAUACAAGGAUGUGACUGAAGGCCUGUCCCCUCGAGACAGGUGUACAGCAAACUGGGUACCAUGCAGAAGUCUUUGUGCCAGGAGAGAUGCAUUGUUUGCAGGAUCCAAGGCUGCUGCAGCUAAGCCCCCUCCAGUCAUUGUUAAAGACCUUUGUCCUUGACCAUAAAUCAAUGAAGAAGUAAUCAAGAAGCAAUGAAACCCUGAAAAAAAA